GCUUCCCGAUCGCGUUCUCCCAGCGCCGGGGACGCGGCGCUCGCGCUCCCGCUCGAGCCGCGGGGAAACGGAGACAAGGAGACGCCGCCACCUCCGGCGCCCCGGCCCUGCGCCCGCAGCAUGCCCGCCGCGGAGCCGAGCGCCGCCCUCCUCCUGCAGCUCGCGGAGGUAACGCCGCCGGCCUCCGGACCGCCGCUGCGAGGGUAGCGGGGCCGGAGUCGGCUACCGAGGCUCGGCGAGGCGGGCGGAGCUGGAGGAGGAGCAGGCAUCCUCCGCGGCGCGGCGGGCGGCGGCCCUGCUGCCCGGCGCGCCCAUGGCCCGGGAGCACGGAGAAUGCAAGCCGCGCUGCGCGGCCGCAGCCCAGCUCCGAGCCGCUUGCCCGGAGCCCCCCAAAGCUGCCUGCGUCGCUGCCGCCCUCCAGUUGCGGACUCCCGGCCACCGGCUGCGCUAGGACCCACGGCCGCCGGCCGCGCAGGGGUGGUGGCCCGGGAGCAGCGGGAGCUAGAGGGCCCGGGAGCUGGGCGCCCGCCGGAGUCCAGCGCGGCAUGCUGCUGCGGGCUCCGGUACCGGCGUGAGGGUUGUCGGCGCGGGGCCCCGCCAUGGCUGGCAAGGACAGUGGCAACCUGAAGACGGUGAGGCUGUGGCGGGACGCCGCCCUGCGAGCCAGGAAGCUGCGGAGCAACCUGCGCCAGCUCACGCUCAGCUGCCCGGGGGCCGGAGGCGAUCCACUGGAGUCCUCCGAUGCCCCCCAGCUGGUGCUGCCGGCCAACAUCGGGGACAUUGAGGUGCUGAACCUGGGGAACAACAGCCUCGAGGAUGUGCCUGAAGGUCUGGGGUCAGCUCUGGGCAGCCUUCGCGUCUUGGUCUUGCGCAGGAACCGCUUUACCCGGCUGCCCCCUGCGGUGGCAGAGCUAGGCCACCACCUUACCGAACUGGACAUCAGCCACAACCGGCUGACCAUCCUGGGAGCCGAGGUGGUGAGCGCCCUGAGGGAGCUGCGCAAACUCAACCUGAGCCACAACCAGCUGCCAGCCCUGCCUGCCCAGCUGGGUGCCCUGGUCCACCUGGAGGAGCUGGAUGUCAGCUUCAACCGGCUAGCGCAUCUGCCAGAUUCCUUCUCCUGCCUCAACCACCUACGGACCCUUGACGUGGACCACAACCAGCUCACCGCCUUUCCCCAGCAGCUGCUGCAGCUGGCUGCCCUGGAGGAGCUCGACGUCUCCAGCAACCGGCUGCGAGGCCUACCUGAGGAUAUCAGUGCCCUGCGUGCCCUCAAGAUCCUCUGGCUUAGCGGGGCCGAGCUUGGCACGCUGCCCAGCGGCUUCUGCGAGCUGGCCAGUUUGGAGAGCCUCAUGUUAGAUAACAACGGGCUCCAGGCUCUGCCCGAUGAGUUCAGCCGUCUGCAGAGGCUCAAAAUGCUCAACCUCUCUUCCAACCUCUUCGAGGAGUUCCCUGCUGCGCUGCUGCCCCUGGCUGGUCUGGAGGAGCUCUACCUUAGUCGCAAUCAGCUCACCUCAGUGCCCUCUCUUAUCGCCGGGCUGGGCCGGCUUCUCACCUUGUGGCUGGAUAAUAACCGCAUCCGGUACCUGCCAGACUCCAUUGUGGAGCUGACCGGCCUGGAGGAGCUGGUGCUCCAGGGCAACCAGAUCGCUGUGCUGCCGGACAACUUUGGCCAGCUCUCCCGGGUAGGCUUGUGGAAAAUCAAGGACAACCCACUGAUUCAGCCCCCUUACGAAGUCUGCAUGAAGGGGAUCCCUUACAUCGCAGCCUAUCAGAAGGAACUGGCUCAUUCGCAGCCAGCGGUGCAGCCCCGGCUCAAGCUGCUCCUGAUGGGCCACAAGGCUGCGGGAAAGACCCUGCUUCGACACUGCCUCACUGAGGACAAAGUGGAGGGAGGGCAAGGAGGAGGGGACAAGGAGAAGAGCUACCUACCUUUCCCUCCCCUUGGGAGUAAGGGCAUCGAGGUGACCAGCUGGACAGCGGAUGCUUCCCGGGGCUUGCGGUUCAUUGUGUAUGACUUAGCUGGCGAUGAAAGCUAUGAAGUGAUACAGCCCUUCUUCCUUUCCCCAGGAGCCCUGUAUGUGCUCGUAGUCAACUUGGCUACCUAUGAACCUCGCUGCUUUCCUACCACCGUGGGCUCCUUCUUGCAUCGGGUGGGGGCCCGGGUGCCUCACGCUGUGGUGUGUAUUGUGGGCACGCAUGCGGACCUGUGUGGGGAGCGGGAGCUCGAGGAGAAGUGUCUGGACAUUCACCGACAGAUUGCCCUGCAGGAGAAGCACGAUGCAGAGGGCCUUAGCCAUCUAGCUAAGGUGGUGGAUGAGGCCCUGGCUCGGGACUUCGAGCUGCGCUCUGCCAGCCCCCACGCAGCCUACUACGGUGUUUCAGACAAGAACCUUCGGAGGCGCAAGGCCCAUUUUCAAUACCUGCUUAACCACCGGCUGCAGAUCCUCUCGCCCGUGUUGCCCGUGAGCUGCCGGGACCCCCUCCAAUUGCAACGCCUUCGAGACAAGCUGCUCUCUGUAGCUGAGCACCGAGAAAUCUUUCCCAACUUACACCGAGUCCUGCCGCGAUCCUGGCAGGUACUGGAGGAACUGCAUUUCCAGCCACCUCAGGCGCAACGACUGUGGCUGAGCUGGUGGGACUCUGCCCGCCUGGGCCUGCAGGCAGGUCUGACUGAGGACCGGCUCCAGAGUGCUCUUUCCUACCUGCACGAGAGCGGCAAGCUGCUCUAUUUUGAGGAUAGCCCGGCCCUCAAGGAGCAUGUCUUCCACAACCUCACCCGCCUCAUUGACAUCCUCAAUGUCUUUUUCCAGAGAGAUGCUUCUUUGCUGCUGCAUAAACUGCUCUUAGGGACCAAUGGAGAGGGGGAGGGGGAGGGGGAAAGUUUCCCCACUAUAGCAGUGCCCAGCCCGGGUCAGGACCCACUCCGGGCCACCCAGCUUCAUCAUUAUGUGGAAGGCUUUCUGUUGCAUGGGCUUCUGCCAGCCCACAUCAUUCGGUUGCUGCUUAAGCCUCAUGUCCAGGCCCAACAGGACUUGCAGCUCCUGCUGGAGCUGUUGGAGAAGAUGGGACUCUGUUACUGCCUCAAUAAACCCAAAGGCAAGCCUUUGAAUGGCUCCGCGGCAUGGUACAAGUUCCCAUGCUACGUGCAGAAUGAGGUGCCCCAUGCAGAGGCCUGGAUUAAUGGCACCAACCUAGCCGGGCAGUCUUUUGUGGCUGAACAGUUACAGAUCGAAUAUAGUUUUCCCUUCACCUUUCCACCUGGAUUGUUCGCACGUUACAGUGUUCAGAUCAACAGCCACGUGGUGCACAGGUCGGAUGGGAAAUUUCAGAUCUUUGCAUAUAGAGGGAAAGUUCCCGUGGUGGUGAGUUACAGACCUGCCAAGGGGGUCCUGCAGCCCGACACCCUGUCCAUUGCCAGCCAUGCGUCACUACCAAACAUAUGGACCGCAUGGCAAGCCAUCACCCCUUUGGUAGAGGAACUGAAUGUCCUACUUCAGGAAUGGCCUGGACUGCACUACACUGUGCACAUCCUCUGUUCUAAGUGCCUUAAGAGAGGGUCGCCAAAUCCACACGCUUUCCCAGGGGAGUUGCUGAGCCAGCCCAGGCCAGAAGGGGUGGCAGAGAUCAUCUGCCCCAAGAAUGGCAGUGAGCGAGUGAAUGUGGCUUUGGUUUACCCACCUACACCGACUGUGAUCAGCCCUUGUUCCAAGCACCUCCAUACUUUCUUGGAACAUUAAGUGGAAAGGAUAGUGCUUCUUCCCCUCUGCCACCAUUUUUACUGUUCCCACUCUGUGACUUUAGGAGCACCAAGUUUUAAGGGAAGAACGUUGGUGAGAAGCACAGAAACCAGUGACAUCCAUGGCUGUGGAAUUUUCACGGAGUUAACAGGGCAUGGGACCGACUGGGACAUCUUCCGCCCCUGGCGAGCCUCCUGCCGUACUCGCAAGCGCCUUUGGGGGGCCCAGAGUGAAACCCCGUGCGUGCGCGCACUGGGGUGCUUGCAGAAGAUCCCUUGGAGGGCUUGGAGGGGGCUGGGAAGAUGGGAGCAAACAUGGAGCGAAUGUUUCACAACCCGAACCUCAGAACUGUGAUCCUCCAAGGAGAAAGCUACUUGAAGAAAAGAAGAAAAAAAAAAAAAAGUUAACAGGCUUCUCAGGGAUUGUGUUUUCUGUGUA